GAAAUUUGCCAGUAUCUCGUCCAAUUGGUCCUGUAAGCAGUCCAGCACAAGUUGUGGUCACUUCUGCUCCAACAAAUUCUUUUUCUCCAGUUCCAACUGCACAUGUGCCUUUUUCUGCAACAAAUGGUUUAUCAUUGUCUGAUACGUCUACAGCCAAUAAUUCCCCGGCUGAUGCUAAACGUGAUCCAAGAAGGGAUCCUCGUCGCCUGGAUCCACGACGUGCAGCAUCAUCUGUUGGAGUACCAUCCAUACCUAUUACAGAUGAUGCUGGUGCCAUGGAACCUGAAUUUGAUGGUUCUAUUUCUUUGAGUAAGCCUCUUUCACUUCCGGUUGUGACAUCUGUUGAGAGUCCUGCACUUCCAAUGUCAAACAGUGAAACUGAUGAUAAGG
rnacentral:misc_RNA from 1 species